rnacentral:rRNA from 1 species
AGAGAUGUGUGAUGACGCAUAUCAAUAAGCGGAGGAAAAGAAACUAACAAGGAUUCCCCUAGUAACGGCGAGUGAAGCGGGAAGAGCUCAAAUUUGAAAUCUUCAAGGGUUUCCCUUGACGAAUUGUAGUUUAAAGAAGUGUUUUCUGUUAGAGAGGUGGUAAAAGUUCUUUGGAAUAGGACAUCAUAGAGGGUGAGAAUCCCGUAUUUGAUCACUUUCUACUAACGUUGUGAUACACUUUCAAAGAGUCGGAUUGUUUGGGAAUGCAGUCCAAAAUGGGUGGUAAAUUUCAUCUAAAGCUAAAUAUUGGCGAGAGACCGAUAGCGAACAAGUACCGUGAGGGAAAGAUGAAAAGAACUUUGAAAAGAGAGUUAAACAGUACGUGAAAUUGUCAAAAGGGAAGCGUUUGACACCAGUGUUGUUUUUCCGAAAAUCAAUUAUGAAUGGCUUGAUUUUAAGUUUCAUGACCUUAAAAGCUUGUUUCUUAUUUUUCAUGUCUUUCGUAAUGCACUUUUCGGUUAACAAGUCAACAUCAAUUUCUUUUGUUGUAAAAGGUUAAGAGGAAGGUGGCUUUACUUUCGGGUAAAGUGUUUAUAGCCUUUUAACUCUGCAAUCGGAGAGAUUGAGGUCUGCAGCGUAGAUCCUUCGGGGUUAGAUACAUUUGUGCUAAGUUAUAGCUUUUCAUAGACAACUUGUUGACUAUGUUAAGUCUUGUACUUACUCGCAUGACUGCUAUUUUACCUACGCUUAGGAUGUUGACGAUCAGCUGAGCGCG